GUUUGUUUGUUUGCUCUUAUUUUUUAGGAAGCUCGAUAUUGUUAACAUAUAAGAAUAAAACAGAAAAUCAGUUUACAUGUUAUGUAAAGUAGACAAAAUUUGAUUUAACAGAAUAUUUAUCAAAUAAACACUGAGAAUUUUUUUCCUAUUUCAUGUGUGUGCUGAGACAGGAGACACAAUGUGAACUAGUUAUCGUUAUUGCAGGCUGAAAGAUGCCAAACAAAAUUCACCUAUUUUCCAAGCAGAAUUUUAUGCUCAGAAAUUCGACCAACCGAUUAAAUUAUAAUUUUAUUUUUUUUUUGCAAUAAAAGACAUAUAUGAGGGAGGGUAAUGUUUUUUUUUUGAUGAGUAAUAUGAAAAUGUAAUUUGUAUUGACUCUAUAUUGUAGAUUGCAAUAUAAAGCGUCAUUUGGAACUGGGCUAAUAUGAUUCAGUUCCACUUAACCACCUUGUUACGCACGCAGGUUUGUUUUCUGUUUUCCAAAUAGCACUGCAGAUUUCAUCAUAUCAGCUGAAGUGAUUUCAUCAUGUUUUAACUGCCAAGAGGGAUGCUUUCAACCUCUUCUAAUAAAACCAAGCCUCAGCACUUUUAGUGUCCCUGUCUUUCAUCCCAGCCUCUCUUUGUCUCUGUUUCUUCCUGCCUGUUGAUGCCUGCUUUUGAAGGCGGAGAGCUAAAUAUAAAGAGAGAAUUUGUUUUUGUUGUUUUGAAAGACAAAAUGAAAGCAAGGUUGCCACUGGCUACACAGUCAAAUGUCCCAGUUAUCCUGUUUGUAUUUGUGUAAGAAAAUUACCUUUGCUAUGCUCAUCAUUUUUUUUUUUUUUUUUUAAGUGAAAAACUAAAUUCUUUGCAGUGCAAGGUAGUAGCUACAUAUAAUGUCAUUAUGGAACUAGUCCUUUUUCAUAGUGCAGGAAUGUCUUCUGGAAAUGGUUGGUGGGUCAUCAAAACCACAAGGACAAAUGUCAGUGCAACGUCAUCAAGGGCUGUCUAUACAUUCAGACAAUCUCAAUACAUUUAGCAGAAUUUUGCAAAAUGUCUAUUUAACGUACAUUGCUGUAAACAAGCAGGGUCUGACCACACCUAGACAAAUGUCUGUGCCUUUUUUUUUCAUCCCAGGAGGUUAAUGCCAGUUAUGGCUCUUCUAACAGGUGUGUCACAAAGAUAAACACAAAGCAUUUUCAUAAUUUUGUCUGUGCAUUAAAAAUUAUUCAGUGACUUUAAAUGUUUAAACUGUGUUUAACAGCCUUUUAGAAUCUUUCU
ensembl:lncRNA